rnacentral:rRNA from 1 species
CUCCUUAGAGUUUGAUCCUGGCUCAGGACGAACGCUGGCGGCGUGCUUAACACAUGCAAGUCGAACGAUGAAGCCUUUCGGGGUGGAUUAGUGGCGAACGGGUGAGUAACACGUGGGCAAUCUGCCCUUCACUCUGGGACAAGCCCUGGAAACGGGGUCUAAUACCGGAUAACACUCUGUCCCGCAUGGGGCGGGGUUGAAAGCUCCGGCGGUGAAGGAUGAGCCCGCGGCCUAUCAGCUUGUUGGUGGGGUGAUGGCCUACCAAGGCGACGACGGGUAGCCGGCCUGAGAGGGCGACCGGCCACACUGGGACUGAGACACGGCCCAGACUCCUACGGGAGGCAGCAGUGGGGAAUAUUGCACAAUGGGCGAAAGCCUGAUGCAGCGACGCCGCGUGAGGGAUGACGGCCUUCGGGUUGUAAACCUCUUUCAGCAGGGA